UACGAAGGGGGGCUAGCGUUGUUCGGAAUUACUGGGCGUAAAGCGCACGUAGGCGGACUAUUAAGUCAGGGGUGAAAUCCCGGGGCUCAACCCCGGAACUGCCUUUGAUACUGGUGGUCUAGAGUCCGGAAGAGGUGAGUGGAAUUCCGAGUGUAGAGGUGAAAUUCGUAGAUAUUCGGAGGAACACCAGUGGCGAAGGCGGCUCACUGGUCCGGUACUGACGCUGAGGUGCGAAAGCGUGGGGGAGCAAACAGGAUUAGAAACCCCGUGG
rnacentral:rRNA from 1 species